CUCUGAUACCGAUGUUUUCUACACACGCAGCUUCAGGCGGUUGUCGCCAUCAUUAGUCUUUACGGAAUAUGGGUGUACUGCUAUUGGGGGAGGGUUUAAAUUCAAAGUUUUUAGUUCUCGUAAACCAAUCACAGCGGUCAAUUUAGGAACGGAAGUAAUUUCAAAAUUAUAGCGCCUGUCCAUUUUUAUACGUCGCAUAUGCUGGUGUUGAUGGUGUUGCAGACAAUUAUGAACCUAUCGCUCUGGAAAAACCAUUUGCAGUUGUAAAAUUUGCUACAAUGCACUGACGAAGAAAGUGCGUACUCGGAGGUCCCAGCAGAGUGAGUUUCCAUUUUUCUGGGCAAGGACGGCAAACGCUUCGACAUGUGUUGGUGGCCAGAUACUGAAAAUAAGAAUCUGGUUACCAAUUUAAUUUCUAGCAAAGCUGAAGUCAAUAAAGAUACAUGGAGGCAGCUUGCUGUCGAAUUUGAUAAAUACCCCUCGACUUAUCAAAGUGCUAGGAGAAGAACGACUGAUGCAAAUUACCAGACAACUGAUGAAAACAACUUAGGCCGAGGCAACCGAACAAAAACACCACGUCGCCCAAUAGGGGAAAAUGGUGAAGAAAUAGAUGCACCGAGUCAUGGUACGGAUCAGCAAUCAGUCCCCGAGAUGUUCAAGAAAACACUAAGACUUCUCGCAGAAAUUAGAAUAGACUUGAAGGAUUUAACAACACGGGUGACAAGUUUGGAUAAAAGGGAAGAGACGUUGGUUCAAGACGACAUGGAUUUAAUUAAAAAUUUGCUACCACUGUCUGAUCCAACUGAAGUUAUGAAAUUUAAUGAAACAUUGAAAAGAAAAUGCAGAAUUGAAAAAAUUUUUCGUUGUUGUAUUGAAAACCCUAUUUUCUUCGCAUAUCUUGAGCUGUAACAGGUUUUAGCUGCGCACACGCUCUCUCUCAUGGAAAUACUUAUUCUCCGAGUUGGAGCGAUUGGAGUUAAACAAAAUAUUGCAAACGUUUUUUUCAAGAGUGAUAACAAACAAGUGUGGCAAGAAAAUUUAUAAUUCAAUUACAGCUACAUUAUGCCGCUAUUAUUCGACCCUGACUGAAGCUGAAUUUGACGUUCGUGCCGCUGAAUGGUUCAGGGUUGCCAAUCAGCGGUACAAACGUGGAAAGGCAAAGAAGCAAAAGUCUGCUGGAAUGCCUCAAGAUGAAGGCAAAGCAGCCGUUUGACCUUAGAUGAAUUUCGGUACACCAUACGUUCAAAUCCUAACUUUAAAUAUUGUGAUUGCGAAUUAACUUUUCGCACUGUAUUUUUGCUUAAUUCUUUAAAAAGAUGUUAAUAUCUAAUCAGUUGACAAAGUUUAGAUGAUAAUUAGACUAGAUAGAUCUAGAAAGUCAGAAAUUCGACCGAAAUUAAGGGUGUCUUUCGAUAUUUUACAAAUAAUUCUUGAAGUUUCCAUCAAAACUCUAUUAUUUCUCAGAUAUAUCCUUUUUAAUUCUAAUUUUCCUUUAUUACUUUUUUUUCUUUAGUUUUCAGCCAAAUUAUUUUGAAAGAGUAGAAAUAAUUCAAAAGUAUCGAAAAAUGCCCCAUAAUUUUGUUCGGAUCCCUGUAGAAACCAAAUCAUUCUGUCCUUACAAAGACUGAAAAAGCUGGAUCAUUCGUUCAAAUCCUAACUUUGAAAAUUGUGAUUGCGAAUUAAUUUUUCGCACUUUAUUCAUACGUGCUUUAAAAAAAAGUUAAUAGAUGUUUUUUAAAGUGGGACGAUGGUCGUGGGGGCUAAAGCGUAGGCUUUGGACCCACU